UCCAUUCCAUUCCCUCAUCCCAUGCCACCUUUUGAUCACCAUCAUGACUGUCAGUCCCUCGCUUUUUCUAACAGGACUUGCUUGCCACCCAAUGCUUCAUCUUCCCAUUAGAACCACUUUAUCACCAGGAGGGAUGCAGACUGGACCUUAGCCAUCAUCGGUGAGGACUAGGGAGUAAAUACAUCAGCAGCGUCUCGGGAGUGCUCGUGCCAGAGCGCAUAACAACUGAAAGAGAAGCUGGAUCCAUGGAGGUUUCCAAACUCUUAUCAAUCAAGGAUGUCAGCAAAUAAAAAGACAUUUUUCAGGAAGAAGGAGCCCAAGUAGGUGAAACACUGAGGAGUUGGUAGAUGUGUAGUGAGGGUUGGGAGCAGGCUCAGGCUGUGGAGCUCUGGAUGAGAGAAGAGGUGUGUGUCUGUGAUAGCUGAAGCCCUGACACCCAGAGAACGGAUGUGACAGAAGGAGAAGUCCUCAGAGACAGCUCAGAAGAGACAGUAGAGGAUCCAGAUGGGAGCACUCAAGCUGGCAGAAUUAAAUGAAGAGCUGAUUACUGGGUAGGGGAUACUAAAAAGGAGAGAAUUCCUGAGGAACGAUUAUCAGUGCUAAAUGCUGAGAUCCAGGAGACCACAUGAGAAAGGCUGGACCGCGAGCGUAAGCAUCUUGACCUAUCUGUCAGAGCCCAGUUCCUGUAGAUGGCGAAGGGCAGCAAUACGCUUCACCAGUGCUGUUUCCAAUGUCAGUUCAAUCUCCUGUGAUUCAUAAGGCAUUUCGGUAUCUGCUGGAAACUCAUUUAUAAAUAUCAGCUGUGUAACCGUGAUGUAAAAGUUAGCAAGAUCAAGGAAGACGUUAUAGAAGGCUGCAUAUUGAAAGGCUGCGUUCCAGAUGCUUCCACACAUACGGUUCAAAAAGGGACAAACGCAUUAUUACACUACAUGUGUACGUGUCAAAAUAUACCACAUGUCAUAAGUAUAUAAAC
rnacentral:lncRNA from 1 species